rnacentral:rRNA from 1 species
GUCGAACGAGAUCUUCGGAUCUAGUGGCAGACGGGUGAGUAACGCGUGGGAACCUGCCCUUUAGUAGAGAACAACUUGAGGAAACUUGAGCUAAUACUUUAUACGCCCUUCGGGGGAAAGUUUUAACGCCAAAAGAUGAGCCUGCACUUGAUUAGCUAGUUGGUAAGGUAAUGGCUUACCAAGGCUACGAUCAAUAGCUGAUCUGAGAGGAUGAUCAGCCACAUUGGGACUGAGACACGGCCCAAACUCCUACGGGAGGCAGCAGUGGGGAGUCUUGCACAAUGGGGGAAACCCUGAUGCAGCGAUGCCGCGUGAGUGAAGAAGGCCUUUGGGUUGUAAAGCUCUUUCGUCGGGGAAGAAAAUGACUGUACCCGAAUAAGAAGGUCCGGCUAACUUCGUGCCAGCAGCCGCGGUAAUACGAAGGGACCUAGCGUAGUUCGGAAUUACUGGGCUUAAAGAGCACGUAGGUGGUUAAAAAAGUUGGUGGUGAAAUCCCAAGGCUUAACCUUGGAACUACCACCAAAACUUUUUAACUAGAGUAUGAUUGAGGUAAGCGGAAUUUCUAGUGUAGAGGUGAAAUUCGUAGAUAUUAGAAGGAACACCAAUUGCGAAGGCAGCUUUCUGGAUCAUUACUGACACUGAGGUGCGAAAGCAUGGGUAGCGAAGAGGAUUAGAUACCCUCGUAGUCCAUGCCGUGAGCGAUGUGUGCUA